CCUACGGGUGGCAGCAGUGAGGAAUAUUGGUCAAUGGGCGAGAGCCUGAACCAGCCAAGUCGCGUGAGGGAGUACUGCCCUAUGGGUUGUAAACCUCUUUUGUCGGGGAGCAAAAGCCGGACGUGUCCGGCUGUGAGAGUACCCGAAGAAAAAGCAUCGGCUAACUCCGUGCCAGCAGCCGCGGUAAUACGGAGGAUGCGAGCGUUAUCCGGAUUUAUUGGGUUUAAAGGGUGCGCAGGCGGAUUUUUAAGUCAGCGGUAAAAUCGUGGGGCUCAACCCCAUCCAGCCGUUGAAACUGGGGAUCUAGAGUGUGCGAGAGGUAUGCGGAAGGCGUGGUGUAGCGGUGAAAUGCAUAGAUAUCACGCAGAACCCCGAUGGCGAAGGCAGCAUACCGGUGCACAACUGACGCUCAGGCACGAAAGCGUGGGUAUCGAACAGGAUUAGAUACCCGAGUAGUC
rnacentral:rRNA from 1 species